rnacentral:tRNA from 1 species
GACCGAAUGCCCGAGUGGCCAGGGAGCGGACUGCAACUCCGCGCACCGGGUUCGGAUCCCCGUUCGGUCUC